UGGUGGGUAGUUUGACUGGGGCGGUCUCCUCCUAAAGAGUAACGGAGGAGCACGAAGGUUGGCUAAUCCUGGUCGGACAUCAGGAGGUUAGUGCAAUGGCAUAAGCCAGCUUGACUGCGAGCGUGACGGCGCGAGCAGGUGCGAAAGCAGGUCAUAGUGAUCCGGUGGUUCUGAAUGGAAGGGCCAUCGCUCAACGGAUAAAAGGUACUCCGGGGAUAACAGGCUGAUACCGCCCAAGAGUUCAUAUCGACGGCGGUGUUUGGCACCUCGAUGUCGGCUCAUCACAUCCUGGGGCUGAAGUAGGUCCCAAGGGUAUGGCUGUUCGCCAUUUAAAGUGGUACGCGAGCUGGGUUUAGAACGUCGUGAGACAGUUCGGUCCCUAUCUGCCGUGGGCGCUGGAGAAUUGAGGGGGGCUGCUCCUAGUACGAGAGGACCGGAGUGGACGCAUCACUGGUGUUCGGGUUGUCAUGCCAAUGGCACUGCCCGGUAGCUAAAUGCGGAAGAGAUAAGUGCUGAAAGCAUCUAAGCACGAAACUUGCCCCGAGAUGAGUUCUCCCUGACUCCUUGAG
rnacentral:rRNA from 1 species